AUUGAACGCUGGCGGCAUGCUUUACACAUGCAAGUCGAACGGUAACAGGCCGCAAGGUGCUGACGAGUGGCGAACGGGUGAGUAAUGCAUCGGAACGUGCCCAGUCGUGGGGGAUAACGCAGCGAAAGCUGCGCUAAUACCGCAUACGAUCUCUGGAUGAAAGCGGGGGACCGAAAGGCCUCGCGCGAUUGGAGCGGCCGAUGUCAGAUUAGGUAGUUGGUGGGGUAAAGGCCCACCAAGCCAACGAUCUGUAGCUGGUCUGAGAGGACGACCAGCCACACUGGGACGGAGACACGGCCCAGACUCCUACGGGAGGCAGCAGUGGGGAAUUUUGGACAAUGGGCGCAAGCCUGAUCCAGCAAUGCCGCGUGCAGGAAGAAGGCCUUCGGGUUGUAAACUGCUUUUGUACGGAACGAAACGGUCCGGGUUAAUACCCUGGGCUAAUGACGGUACCGUAAGAAUAAGCACCGGCUAACUACGUGCCAGCAGCCGCAGUAACAC
rnacentral:rRNA from 1 species